rnacentral:rRNA from 1 species
GCAAACAAGCUUUGAUCCCGCGAUUUCCGAAUGGGGAAACCCAGUCUUAGGACUAUCCGAAAGGAAGCUAACCCGGAGAACUGAAACAUCUAAGUACCCGGAGGAAAGGAAAUCAAUUGAUACUCCCCUAGUAGCGGCGAGCGAACGGGGACCAGCCGAGCCUUGAGAGUGACCAGAAUGAUCUGGAAAGAUCAGCCAUAGUGGGUGACAGCCCCGUAUGGGAAGCUUAAUAGGACGUAUUAAGUAGGGCGGGACACGUGAAAUCCUGUCUGAA